GACCUACGGGGGGCAGCAGUGGGGAAUAUUGCACAAUGGGCGAAAGCCUGAUGCAGCAACGCCGCGUGAACGAAGAAGGCUCUUGGGUCGUAAAGUUCUGUUCUGAGGGAAGAAGAAAGUGACGGUACCUCAGGAGAAAGCCCCGGCUAACUACGUGCCAGCAGCCGCGGUAAUACGUAGGGGGCCAGCGUUGUCCGGAUUUACUGGGUGUAAAGGGAGCGUAGACGGCAGUGCAAGUCUGGAGUGAAAGGCGGGGGCUCAACCCCCGGCCUGCUCUGGAAACUGAACGGCUGGAGUGCAGGAGG
rnacentral:rRNA from 1 species